AGAUCUUCUCCUUCUCUCUCUCUCUCUCUCUCUCUCUCUCCCUCAACGUCGGUGCUGUUCAAUGACACCAACGCCUCGACGACGACAACAUCGCCGACGAAGCCAACGAUCCCUCAACGUCGGUGCCGUUCAAUGACACCAACGCCUCGACGACACCAACACCCGCCGGCGGCUUCGACUACGACACCACCGUGGCCUCCACCCUCGACGACCGCCGCUUCGUCUCGGACUCCUCCCCUCACCCCUCUCAAUUCCCAUCCUUAACCAAAACCCGAACCCUAAUCCCCUCUCAAUUCCCAUCCUUAACCAAAACCCGAACCCUAUUCCCCCAAAUCCACCAAAUUGCUAGUCUUUUCCGGCCGCCGUCCAAGUUCGAGUUCUAGAUCCGUGGACUCGGAGACCCACAUGGCCUGCCUCAACCAGCUAACCCUCCUCAGGGCAAUGGUGAUGAACCACCUGCAGAUGUUGAUGUUGGAAAACAUGCACCAGAAGCCUGAGAGUACUCAUAAUCCUUUACUAGAGCAGAGGCACUUGCGAAUUGCAAUGAAAUGCUAAACUUGCAUAGUCUAGUUCUUGCGCCAAAACUGAAGAAUAUGGUGGGAGCAAAGGAUUUGGAGACUGUUAAUAGAAUGGGAAUCUACUAAAGUUUUGUUUCAUUUUUUUCUAAUUCUUUUUUCCUGUUAAUAGAGUAUUCAUGUAUUAUUAGUAUUGUAUAACCAUACACAUUCUCACACCAAAAUUGAGAGACUAUGAUCUAAAGGAAACCUUGCUGAUAGAAAAAGGGGUUGGUUUUUCUCUAUACUCCUGAUACUUUCUCUUUCC